rnacentral:lncRNA from 1 species
UGAGAAGACCAUCCACCACACAAAGUGCGGUCCAGGCAGUUACGGCACCUACUCAUGGUGAAGAUACCGCACAGAGCUAUUCCCAGCGGCGUCAGAGCCGGCUGUCGCCCAUUCUCCCUUCCCUUUUCUUGGGAGUUGGCUAUGAGCUAUGAACCACCAACAAGCCUUCCCUGCCAACACCAGCUCUUCAGUCAGCAGAGGUCUUCACCUGCUAGUUCCUGUGCACCUCUGCCCAGUGACUAUCACAACACCAGCACAGGGAAGGUGCACUAUUUCGGAAAACUGGGCAGUACUGUGUUUGGUUUCCUAUCCUUGAAAGAUCUGCUUAAAGGAAAGCAGAGACACAACCUUCAAGAGAUACUCAAGAUACCAGCUAAGAAACAAGGUGAGAAUGUGCUGCUUUCUCAGCACAAAAGAGAGACCACUUUGACACCUGACUGGUCCACCUGGCUUUCCAUCGAAAAGUGA